rnacentral:rRNA from 1 species
GACGAACGCUGGCGGCGUGCUUAACACAUGCAAGUCGAACGGAAAGGCCCUGCUUUUGUGGGGUGCUCGAGUGGCGAACGGGUGAGUAACACGUGAGUAACCUGCCCUUGACUUUGGGAUAACUUCAGGAAACUGGGGCUAAUACCGGAUAGGAGCUCCUGCUGCAUGGUGGGGGUUGGAAAGUUUCGGCGGUUGGGGAUGGACUCGCGGCUUAUCAGCUUGUUGGUGGGGUAGUGGCUUACCAAGGCUUUGACGGGUAGCCGGCCUGAGAGGGUGACCGGCCACAUGGGGACUGGGAUACGGCCGAGACUCCUACGGGAGGCAGCAGUGGGGAAUAUUGCACAAGGGGCGGAAGCCGGAUGCAGCAACGCCGGGUGGGGGAUGACGGCCUUCGGGUUGUAAACCGCUUUCGCCUGUGACGAAGCGUGAGUGACGGUAAUGGGUAAAGAAGCACCGGCUAACUACGU